CCUACGGGUGGCUGCAGUGGGGAAUAUUGGACAAUGGGGGGAACCCUGAUCCAGCCAUGCCGCGUGUGUGAAGAAGGCCCUCGGGUUGUAAAGCACUUUCAGUGAGGAAGAACGCCUGGUGGUUAAUACCCAUCAGGAAAGACAUCACUCACAGAAGAAGCACCGGCUAACUCCGUGCCAGCAGCCGCGGUAAUACGGAGGGUGCGAGCGUUAAUCGGAAUUACUGGGCGUAAAGCGCGCGUAGGUGGCUUGAUAAGCCGGUUGUGAAAGCCCCGGGCUCAACCUGGGAACGGCAUCCGGAACUGUCAAGCUAGAGUGCAGGAGAGGAAGGUAGAAUUCCCGGUUUAGCGGUGAAAUGCGUAGAGAUCGGGAGGAAUACCAGUGGCGAAGGCGGCCUUCUGGACUGACACUGACACUGAGGUGCGAAAGCGUGGGUAGCAAACAGGAUUAGAUACCCUAGUAGUC
rnacentral:rRNA from 1 species